ACAUACAUGUGACAGAGUUGUCAAGCCACAACUGGAGAUUUGGAAAUUUUCAGCUGGAGUUUGGGCCUCAUAACUGGAGAUUUUAUAUCGACGUACGCAAUGAUUUUUUCGUGUGUGUUUAAACUGCAUAUCUUCCUUUUUUGUUAAAAAAAACCCCAAUGAUUUCAUACCUUCAAGCACCUGCAUAGCCAUUUUUACUUAGUAAAAUAGAAGAUAAAGGGGGGGGGGUCAAAUAUUUAUUCAUCAUAUAUAGUUCAAAGUUAAAGUGAUCAGCCAUCAUAUAUAGUUCAAAGAUAAAGUGAUCAGCCAUCAUACAUAGUUGGCAAAAAGUACCUCUGCUUUAGCCACAUUGUCAACUUUAGUACCACUACUGAACAUGUUUGUAAAAAGAAGGUGUUGAAUUGAUAGAGUUGUG
rnacentral:lncRNA from 1 species